rnacentral:tRNA from 1 species
GGGCGGUUAGCUCAGCGGUUAGAGCGUCCGGCUUACACCCGGGAGGCCGCAGGUUCAAAUCCUGCACUGCCCACCA